rnacentral:rRNA from 1 species
ACGCUGGCGGCAGGCCUAACACAUGCAAGUCGAGCGGCAGCGGGAAGUAGCUUGCUACUUUGCCGGCGAGCGGCGGACGGGUGAGUAAUGUCUGGGAAACUGCCUGAUGGAGGGGGAUAACUACUGGAAACGGUAGCUAAUACCGCAUGACCUCGCAAGAGCAAAGUGGGGGACCUUCGGGCCUCACGCCAUCGGAUGUGCCCAGAUGGGAUUAGCUAGUAGGUGAGGUAAUGGCUCACCUAGGCGACGAUCCCUAGCUGGUCUGAGAGGAUGACCAGCCACACUGGAACUGAGACACGGUCCAGACUCCUACGGGAGGCAGCAGUGGGGAAUAUUGCACAAUGGGCGCAAGCCUGAUGCAGCCAUGCCGCGUGUGUGAAGAAGGCCUUAGGGUUGUAAAGCACUUUCAGCGAGGAGGAAGGGUUCAGUGUUAAUAGCACUGUACAUUGACGUUACUCGCAGAAGAAGCACCGGCUAACUCCGUGCCAGCAGCCGCGGUAAUACGGGAGGGUGCAAGCGUUAAUCGGAAUUACUGGGCGUAAAGCGCACGCAGGCGGUUUGUUAAGUCAGAUGUGAAAUCCCCGAGCUUAACUUGGGGAACUGCAUUUGAAA